rnacentral:lncRNA from 1 species
UAAUGACUGUAUUUUCUGGUCUUUUAGCUAAAUGACAGUAUCUUCACCUGGCUAGGACGGGGGAUCACUAGUUAUAACUUCUUGUAAUACGUAGCAGCCAACAGUGACUCUGUCCAGUUCCUUCAGUCUUGUUCUUUUGGUGGCUAAUGCAUUGCAUCUGCAAGGAGGAGCAACUGCAGAAUUGACAACCUGUUCCUUUAAUUCUUGCUCUUUCAACGGACUGGGAGAAAUUUCAAGUCCCCUGAGAAGACAGUUCAGAAUAGGCAAGGCUGACAAGUCAAGCUUUACAGAAGAGAUGCUAUCUUAUAAAACAGAUGGCAGAGCAAGGGGGGAAAAAAAAAAAAUCAAGCCAGCAAGCAAGCGAGUUGUGGCCACAGGGGCUUGCGGACAUAAAACAAGGUAGGGUGAUCAGCUACUCUCCCAGAGGAAAUAACCCUUCCACCACCGGGG